rnacentral:lncRNA from 12 species
AUGAAUUUUGGCACAAUUAGUAUGCCAUUUCAAUUAUACAAUUGUAACAAUGGCUGGAGAGGACUCCUGGACUGGAAAAGGAUGGAUUUAAUUUCUGGGGAAUACUGCAAGCCAACAUCGAAGAAGGUCUCAAGAUGGAGAAACACAAACUUGAAGUUCGUUUUGCUUUCUUUUCCAAUCACAAUCAUUUUUUCCAUUCCAUUUUCUCAGAAAUGCUGCUAUGCUCAAGGUUUACUCACUGCUUUGACUUACAGAAAACGGAAGAUUCUGAGGCGAAGGAGUCUCAAACAGGAGAACAAACAGACUGAGGUCUUCACCGCCCUGUUUGAUCCAAAACACCAUGAGCAUCUUUUCAGCAAAGUAUGCUUCCCUCUCGCACAUAACAAUCAAGAAUCCUGAUGUCAUUUACCUCGAUGAAGGCCGAACGAACCAGCGCAGCUGUCAGAUUCUUCGCAGAUUUACAGUAAGCCUCCACCAUUAAAUCCUGAUUAUUACCAGAUGUUUUUCCCCCCUUUUUCCUCCCAGUCUUAGGGUACAAAAUUAUUUUUUUCUAGUUCUUUCUUUCAUGGAAGAAAAAAGCUAAGAGAAUGAGAUCAGUGGAAAAAGCUUGCUGAGCUCUGGCCAAACAUUAGACUCCUGUAAAUAGAAUUUUCAAGGAGAAAUGAAUCCCUUCUUUUGGGGGAAAAACACACCCAUUCCCCUUCAGUUGCCACCAGGCAACUAUUUUGAUCCAAAACAUACAGUAAACAUCCCAUUUCACACUUUCACCCUCCCUCUCUGAAGCAUAAUCAUGAUAUUACCACAUUUUUUGCACAUACAGUAGUAUCUUAUAAUACCUUGUAAACAUUAUUUAGUACCAUGGUACCACCACAGUACUUUUUUUUGUAAAGAGCCAUGACUAGGUUUGCCCAAAGACCACCCUGUUCUCACUUAUGUGACGUUCCAGCUCAUGCAGUGUUCAUUACAGACGAGAGAGGAAAAAAAUAUUCCUCUGCUGUUUUCCCUCCUCUAUUUUAGCAACACUGCUAGAUGUACAAUGAAUGUAGUGUCUUACCUUUACCGACUUUACACUCACUCUUUCCCAGUUUUAAAACAUAGCUGCUCUUGCUGGGACUCUUUCAAAGCGGUUAGAUGUUUUCCCAUCCUCUCACAUGCGCAAAUGAAUGAUGAUGUCAUUCUUCACUCACAAUGUUGUAAUUAUUAUUUUCCAGAGUGCCAUCUUGAAUUUACUGUAUAGUGCUAGUGGGAGACAUUAACCCAGACACAAAGCAUCAUUCAUUAACUCCAGAUAUUAGCCAUACUGUUCCACUCCUGUCAUUGUUCUGGAAAAAUAUAUGAACACAAAGGUAUACAGUAGCUCAUCAUUUAUCUCAAUCGAUGACAUCAUUUGGUGUGUUGAUUACAUCAGCUUCAUGUCAUAGAUCUCAAACCAGAAGUUUGAUACCCCAUCCCACCCAAUAUUCACAUUAGUUGUCAACCAAUUAUGUUUUUUAGUUGUUUAAGUAAUACAUGUGUAAUAGCCUUGUUUACUUCAUUAAUAGCCAGAUGAAAUUAUAGGCCAGUUAUUCUAUGACUUUUUUUAAUUCUGUUAAAAUGUGUAUGUAUAGCCUAUUGCUUUGUGCCAUCUAAAGUUGAAUUACAUUUUUAUUUGUUAUUAUUUUUUUAUAUAUUUGGGGAUAUUAUGCAUUCAGAAUGGGUAACAUUGUUGACUGUUAAUGCUGACAUUCACAUAGAUAAGUAUCUCUAUGGAUAUUCAUAAGUAUCCAUUUAUCAAUUAUGUUUAUUUUCAAAUACACUACCAUUCAAAAGUCUGGGCUCCGUAAUUUUUUCCCCCUCAAGGCUUUUAUGUCAUUAAACAUUCGUUAAAAAACAGUACUGUGAAAUAUUUGAUGCAAUUUAAAAUAAAAGAUGUUUUGACGCGCAAAUAAAAAUAUAUUGUAUAGAUAUAAUAUAGGCUAUAUUAUGAGCCAGGUGGAAGGAAACAUUCAGUUAUAGAGAAGUAUGAACCUCAUAAUCAUAAUCAAGUUCUCAGUGAGCCAAAAUUGAGCAAAGCGUGUUCUCAUGUUCUCUUCUAAAAUAAUUAAGACAGUGUGACUUAUUAAAACCCGCACAUUGGUGGCGCUGUUUCUCUUUCAAAAUCAAACGUUAAGAAGGGUGUGGCGUUAUUUUUGCCGUUCAUAUGUUCCUCUUAUUUCUUUCUUUCCCUCUGUCGUCUCAUCAAUUGGUCUACAAGUAAACGAGAUGCAGAUGUGGAAAGACCUUUACCCUCCUCAUCUGGAAGAGAAAAGACAUGUCAGAUGUCUGGCUUAUUCGUUAUCCUCUCUCUCCCCGCCCCCCUCUCUCUCAAACUCUUCACCUCUCAGCUCUUGACAGCUGUGUAUCUUUGAGUGCACAUAUCACCACCAAGACUACAAGCACAACCUCAUGAGGAUGACUCAUUCUCUCCCCCAGUACAACUUCGAGCCGAGCAUCACUCUUCUUCUGCACAUCCAAACCGCAGUGCUUCAUGUCGCAUGCACGUUCAAUGUUACCCAUUUAGUUUCCGAGGUAACCAGACUUUAUGCAAAAAACAAACAAACAAAUAAAACUACAUUGUUUCUAAAACAACUAUUUGUAUAAGAGACCCUAUCAUUGAAAAUAAAUAAACAGAUAACAAUAUUACAUAGCAAUAUUUAUAUAGCCUAAAGCCUAUAUAAUGUAUAAUAUAAUUAUAUUCUUUAAAAAAAAGCAAUGAGAAAAAGGUUGUAUUUUGGGAAUUUACGUUAAUGCUUAUUUCAUGUUUCAAGUUCAAAUAUGAAGACAUUAGUUAAAGUUUAAUGAUAUUUCAAACUACUGGACUAUUACAGUACGAAAUGUUAAGCAUUCAUGCCUAGAUAAUGUUUGUUAAAUGUAUUAAUGGAAUUAGAAAUGCAAUUAAUAUAUUGAAAUAUAUAUAUUGUUAUGGCCUAUUAUUAUGCAUAGAAUGCAAUGCAUAUUUUCGGGCAUUUCCAUACUAUUCUUUCGUAUAAUGGUGGUGCCAUUAUGCAGCAAAGCGUUUUCAAACACCUGAAAUAGGGUGCAUUUGGUGCGCUAAGUAUAAUCAUGUUCAAUAAGAACGUAAUGAUUUUGAAUAUAGCUAAUAUUUAGAAGUGUUUCAGGGCCUAACAUCGGGUUGCAGCAGUAGGAUGAAUCCCUGAAGUAGUGAAGAGUGAAGCGAACUCCUCCUCCUCCUCCCUCCUGCUGUAAGGCGUUUCAUUCUGCUGUGCGCUUUCAGGGGUUUCUGAGCGGACGCGCCACCGUGCUACUGUCCGCCACUUUAUCUCACCCGAGCCUGUUUUUAUAUUUCAUCUGCAAUCAUAUCACUCCUUCUGUUC